GUCCACGCUGUAAACGAUGAGCACUAGGUGUAGCGGGUAUUGACCCCUGCUGUGCCGCAGCUAACGCAUUAAGUGCUCCGCCUGGGGAUUACGGUCGCAAGACUAAAACUCAAAGGAAUUGACGGGGGCCCGCACAAGCGGUGGAGCAUGUGGUUUAAUUCGACGCAACGCGAAGAACCUUACCUGGGUUUGACAUCCCCGGCCCGCCUUGGAAACAGGGUUUUCCCCUUCGGGGGACCGGAGACAGGUGCUGCAUGGCUGUCGU
rnacentral:rRNA from 1 species